rnacentral:sRNA from 1 species
GCUGGGCAUGCUGGCACAUGCCUGUAAUCCCAGGGCCUUAGGAGGCUAAGGCAGGAGAAUUGUAUGUUCAAAGCAACUUAGUGAGACCCUAAGCAACUCAGUGACACCUGUCUCUA